rnacentral:rRNA from 1 species
GAAGGGAUUACCGGUGGCGGAUGGGCAUGCGGCGCAUUAGCUAGUCGGCGGGGUAACGGCCCACCGAGGCGACGAUGCGUAGGGGUUCUGAGAGGAAGGUCCCCCACACUGGUACUGAGACACGGACCAGACUCCUACGGGAGGCAGCAGUGAGGAAUAUUGGUCAAUGGGCGCGAGCCUGAACCAGCCAAGUCGCGUGAGGGAUGACGGUCCUACGGAUUGUAAACCUCUUUUGCCGGGGAGCAAGCGUGCGUUCGUGAACGCGCGUCGAGAGUACCCGGAGAAAAAGCAUCGGCUAACUCCGUGCCAGCAGCCGCGGUAAUACGGAGGAUGCGAGCGUUAUCCGGAUUUAUUGGGUUUAAAGGGUGCGUAGGCGGGAUGCCAAGUCAGCGGUAAAAAUGCGGUGCUCAACGCCGUCGAGCCGUUGAAACUGGCGUUCUUGAGUGGGCGAGAAGUAUGCGGAAUGCGUGGUGUAGCGGUGAAAUGCAUAGAUAUCACGCAGAACUCCGAUUGCGAAGGCAGCAUACCGGCGCCCUACUGACGCUGAGGCACGAAAGCGUGGGUAUCGAACAGGAUUAGAUACCCUGGUAGUCCACGCAGUAAACGAUGAAUGCUAACUGUCCGGCUCGAAUGAGCGCUGG